UGGAGCAAGUGAAAUGAUAGCUAAAAUUUAUUUAUUCUUCAAAAAAAACCAACACAUAUUCACAAGAUGAUGUCUCGAAACACAUGAUUACAUUGCAACAAAAAGCCUUUUACAAACUAGCUCACGCUUGUAAAUUUAAGUAUAUUUAUAUAUACCACCAAACUUUUUUGCCAACACUUGCUUAGAAAGUUCGGAUCUGGAAAGCCGAACUACUAUCAACAAACAAAACUUCAGAGGAAAAGCUUCUCAUUUUUUGUCGGAGUUGCUGUCCGGAGAUCUGGAAAUGCAAGGAUCAACAUUCAACCAGCAUCUUCACAACUUCUCUCAUGUUAGGCCGCAGGUUAGGAAGCUUGGUUGUGCAAAGGAUACCAAUCUUCAAGACUCUAAUCAUGCUCUCUUGGACAGAUUCAGAUGCAACCUUGUCGUCGAGAACCUUGCAGACAUUUUCACGGUCACUAAGACGUUUCAAAAGCCAGUACACUAUAUCUUUGCCUUCUCCAUAUUCCUCAUCAAUAGGUUUCCUACCAGUGACUAAUUCUAGCAGCACAACACCAAAACUAUAUACAUCACUCUUUUCUGUAGCUUUUAGGGUAUAUGCCAUCUCAGGGGCAAUAUAUCCAUGAGUGCCUGCAAGAAAGCUGUUAUCACACCCCUUAAAAGACAUUUCAGCAAGCUUUGCAACCCCAAAAUCAGCAAUUUUUGGCUCGUAAUCUUCAUCGAGUAAAAUGUUGCUUGAUUUUAUGUCUCUAUGAAUAAUUGGUGGAGAGCAAUCAUUGUGCAGAUAUGCAAUUCCCUUUGCAGCACCCAAAGCUAUUUUAUGCCUCUGACACCAAUUCAAUUGUGGCUCCUCAUCUUUAAUCUUUCCGUGAAGUAAAUUAAACAGAUUACCUUUAGCCAUGUAUUCAAACACCAGAAAACAUGAUCCUUCUUUGAGUAAACUAGCAUAAAGCUUUAGUAUAUUUCUAUGCCUGAUUUUCCCUAAAAUUUCCAUUUCAGCUGCUGAAAGCUUGAGAACAUCUCCUUUCCAUAGUUGCUUUACAGCCACUGUGCAACCACUUCUCUUCAAAUCCAGGCGGUAUACUUUCCCUGUACCACCUUUUCCAAUCAAAUUUUCCUCUUUUAAAUUACAUAUUUCAUCUGCUUCGAUAUCCAAUUGGUCAAAAGAUGCAAGUUUCCAUUCCGGAUCCAAGUCAUUUUUUCUGUCAACUUGCCCUUGCUUGAAGUUCUUGUAACUAACAAGCAGUAAGCCAGCUAAAGCAACAACAAAGGCAGAUAAGAUGACAGAGAGCGAUACCAGCUUAUCUCCAAAUGUUGGUUUCUGACCGUGCUUUCGGAGGCAAACAUUCAUUUUUGAAUUUGUAAUGCUCUUGGAAUUUUCAUCAAUACAAAGCUUAUCAUUCCCCAGAAAUGCUUUGUCACCACCUAUGGUCAAAAGAACUGAUGGAAUCCUUCCUGAUAAUUGGUUUCCAGAUAAAUCAAUGUCACUUAGCUUCAAUUUCUCCAAAUCUUCUGGAAUCAAACCAUUAAGUUUGUUUUGCGAAAGAUUGAGAGAGUUCAAAGAGCUCAUCAGGGAAAAAGCAUGUGGGAUAGGACCACUAAGAGAAUUCGAAGCAAGAUUCAAGUCCACCAGUCUAGCACAAUCACUCAGUUUUGAUGGUAUGGGUCCUGUCAAUGAAUUUUCUUCCAAAUGUAAGGAAGAUAACUGUUUCAAAGAACCAAAUUCGGAAGGUAUUUCACCAGAGAAGCUAUUACUCUGCAAAGAUAGCCUCUCUAGAUUCGUCAAUUUGCCAAGUUCAGAUGGAAGCUGACCCGAAAACCUGUUGUUCUGCAAAAACAACAGAUUCAACCUGGUAGACAACCCAAUUUUAGGGGAUAUCCGUCCACUGAAAUCAUUAUCACCGAAAUCAAGUAUGAUCACAAGUGGCAGAGCCCAAACCUCAUCUGGAAUCUGUCCAGACAACUUAUUCAUGCUGAUCCUGAACCUUUUUAAAGACUUACACUUGACAUAAGAAUCUGGAAACUCCCCAGAAAAACUGUUUUCCAAAGCCAGCAAGUCGUAUAAGAUUCUCUUUUCACACAAAAACUGCGGGAAACUUCCUGAAAAUCGAUUCUCAGAUAUGUCAAAGCUGGUCAAUGGUGAGAACCGGCCGAAAUUCGCUGGGAACUCCCCUGAAAAAUUGUUUUUAUAGAUUGAAAACCCAUUAAGAUGCUGCAUCUCUCCAAAACCAGCAGGUAGUUCUCCAGAGAAAUUAUUAUCAUAUAACUGAAAUACCGUCAGAUUCUUCAAAUUUCCAAUUCCCUCUGGCAGUUUCCCAUACAUCUGAUUCGAAGAUAUAUCGAUUUCCUGCAAGAGGGUGAGGUUUGCGAGUUCCGGUGGGAUCUCCCCAGUCAAAUUGUUCAUAUAGAGCUCAAUCUUCUUAAGCUUUUGCAAUUUGCAAAUUGAUUUUGGGAAUUUCCCUGUGAUCUUAUUACUCGAAAUGUCAAAAGUUUCAAGCUUCCAUAGUCCAAAAAUGGACUCUGGAAUCUCUCCUCUCAAAUGGCUAUACCCCAGAAACAGAUAUCUCAGGUUCUUCAAAUUUCCAAUACUCUCUGGAAUUUCACCCUCAUCAUAUUCAUUUUGCCCUAUAGAAAGCGUAACCAGUGCAGUUAAAUUUCCUACCCAGGUCGGAAAUCUGCCGGAGAAGUAGUUUGACGACAAUUCAAGAAUCUCCAAGUUUCUCAAGGGAGUAAGAUCAGGUAAGACUCCCACCAUUUUAUUUCCAGUUAGAUUCAAUACCCUAAGACGGCUGCAAUUAAUAAGCUCAAGAGGAAGCUUCCCAGAGAUAGAAUUGGAAGGCAACCAAAGGGUAGUCAUGCUCUCAAGGGCUGAAAUGGAUGCUGAAAUCUCACCAGAGAGAGACUUGUUGUCAAGUGAGAUUUCAGUCACUUUCCCAGAUGUAGUAUCACAGGCAAUCCCAGAAAACUUGCAUGGAGACUCCAAUUCUUUCCAAGAAUCCAAAACAUUCAAAGGGUCUUUGAGCUGCUUUUUGAAUUCAAGCAAGGCCCGUGUCUCAACGUUCAAACCAAAAGAAAGCGGGAAAGCUGAGAAGAACAGGAAGGAAAGAAACGAAAGAAAUUGAAGGGAAAGAAAAAAGUUUCUGGCCAUUGUGAAAUAGAAACAGAAAUUUAAAAAGAGAGCUUUCUAGAGUGCUUCUUCAAUUAUCGCCAUUAUUGCAUCCUGAACAGACGGUGCUUUUGAGAAUUGGAAUCUGAAUUUCUUGAUUUCCAUGCAUGUUUUGCAGCUCAGAAAUGAAAAUCUCGUGAUGAAUAGAAAAGGGCAGGUUCUUGUUCUGGUAAACGACAAUAAGAAUCAGGAACGCCUGGAGAAACGGAAAAGUUUUGCAGCUAAAGACGGUUGCUUCCCUGUGCUUUUUCCUGAGAAGAAGAAAUAGUAGGCUUCUUGGAUGCCCAGAGAUUACACUACUCAAGAAAUUCAAUGAAGAAUGGAACUUAAUGCUGAGAGAUUAAAGGCAAAUGGGUAUCUCAAGAAAAGCUGGUUUUCCUUUCCAUGAGGGGGGAGAGAGAGAGAGA
rnacentral:misc_RNA from 1 species